rnacentral:pre_miRNA from 1 species
GAAUUCAGAUGAAAAAGUCAUCAACAACAAAUUUGUAUAACUCAUCAAGAUCUAUAACUUAUAUUAUAUUCAUUUCCUCAUCUGACAAAGUGAUGGAAACAUUUUCACAAAAUUUACAUAUCUCUCUCCAUAGUUUAUAAAACUAUAUAAGAGAUAUACAUUUUGUGAACAAUGUUAUAGAUAACUUUGUUGGAUGAAGAAAUGACCAAAAUAAAAGUUAUAGAUCCUGAUGAGUUAUACAACUUUGUUGUUGAUGACUUUUUCAGUUGAAAUC